AUGCGUUUCCCAGGGAAGUUCUGUUUUGUGUGUGUGUGUGUGGUGUGUGUGUGUAUGGUGUGUAUGGUGUGUGUGUGUGUGGUGUGUGUGUGUGGUGUGUGUGGUGUGUGUGGUGUGUGUGUGUGGUGUGUGUGUGGUGUGUGUGUGUGGUGUGUGUGGUGUGUGUGUGGUGUGUGUGGUGUGUGUGUGGUGUGUGUGGUGUGUGAUGGGUGUGUGUGUGGUGUGUGUGGUGUGUGUGUGGUGUGUGUGAUGGGUAUGUGUGGUGUGUGUGUGAUGGGUGUGUGUGGUGUGUGUGUGUGGUGUGUGUGUGGUGUGUGUGUGUGGUGUGUGUGUGGUGUGUGUGGUGUGUGUGUGAUGGGUGUGUGUGGUGUGUGUGUGGUGUGUGUGGUGUGUGUGUGGUGUGUGUGGUGUGUGUGUGGUGUGUGUGUGGUGUGUGUGGUGUGUGGUGUGGUGUGUGUGUGUGAUGGGUGUGUGUGGUGUGUGUGGAUGGGUGUGUGUGGUGUGUGUGUGGUGUGUGUGUGGUGUGUGUGGUGUGUGUGUGGUGUUUGUGUGGUGUGUGUGUGGUGUGUGUGGUGUGUGUGUGGUGUGUGUGGUGUGUGUGUGUGGUGUGUGUGUGGUGUGUGUGGUGUGUGUGGUGUGUGGUGUGUGUGUGGUGUGUGUGGUGUGUGUGUGUGGUGUGGUGUGUGGUGUGUGUGUGGUGUGUGUGGUGUGUGGGGUGUGUGUGGUGUGUGUGGUGUGUGUGGUGUGUGUGUGGUAUGUGUGUGGUGUGUGUGUGAUGGGUGUGUGUGGUGUGUGUGUGUGGUGUGUGUGUGGUGUGUGAUGGGUGUGUGUGGUGUGUGUGUGUGGUGUGUGUGGUGUGUGUGUGUGGUGUGUGUGUGGUGUGUGUGUGUGAUGGGUGUGUGUGGUGUGUGUGGUGUGUGUGGUGUGUGUGGUGUGUGUGUGGUGUGUGUGUGGUGUGUGUGGUGUGUGUGUGUGGUGUGUGUGUGUGGUGUGUGUGUGGUGUGUGUGGUGUGUGUGGUGUGUGAUGGGUGUGUGUGGUGUGUGUGGUGUGUGUGGUGUGUGAUGGGUGUGUGUGGUGUGUGUGUGUGGUGUGUGUGGUGUGUGUGGUGUGUGUGUGAUGGGUGUGUGUGGUGUGUGUGUGGUGUGUGGUGUGUGUGGUGUGUGUGUGUGGUGUGUGUGUGUGAUGGGUGUGUGUGGUGUGUGUGGUGUGUGUGUGAUGGGUGUGUGUGGUGUGUGUGUGUGAUGGGUGUGUGUGGUGUGUGUGUGGUGUGUGUGGUGUGUGUGUGGUGUGUGGUGUGCGUGUGUGUGUGUGUAAUCUUGGGAGGAUCUCUGAGAUUAUCUAACUCAGCUCUUCAUCUAAUGGGAUAUCUUUUCUCAGACCUUCACUACACACUAAAGAGAAACAAAGAUGGAGGAGAGCAGAGAGUCCUGUGA
rnacentral:lncRNA from 1 species